rnacentral:rRNA from 1 species
CCUACGGGAGGCAGCAGUGAGGAAUAUUGGUCAAUGGUCGGGAGACUGAACCAGCCAAGCCGCGUGAGGGAAGACGGUACAGAGUAUCGUAAACCUCUUUUGUCGGGGAGCAAAAGCUGCCACGCGUCGCGUUCUGAGUGUACCUGAAGAAAAAGCAUCGGCUAACUCCGUGCCAGCAGCCGCGGUAAUACGGAGGAUGCGAGCGUUAUCCGGAUUUAUUGGGUUUAAAGGGUGCGCAGGCGGUAUGUUAAGUCAGCGGUAAAAAUGAGGUGCUCAACGUCGUCGAGCCGUUGAAACUGGUGUUCUUGAGUGGGCGAGAAGUAUGCGGAAUGCGUGGUGUAGCGGUGAAAUGCAUAGAUAUCACGCAGAACUCCGAUUGCGAAGGCAGCAUACCGGCGCUCUACUGACGCUGAGGCACGAAAGUGUGGGUAUCGAACAGGAUUAGAUACCCCUGUAGUC